rnacentral:lncRNA from 1 species
GAUGCGGCUUAUUGCCCGUGAACAUGUCUAGAGAGGAACCUGUCUCACGACUGCCUGCAGUAGACGCUGCCUUGCUUGUGUCUGCGGCGUCACACUGCCUCUCAGGAUCGAUCCUCCUAUAGAUUGCUCAACUGUGGAUAAUAGACUCAGCUGAUGUGGACGUGAACUCGGGGAGACGGAGCCGUAGUGGGAGCUUGUCAGGCACUUUCGUCAUGGUUGAGUGGCGUUGGUGUCUGAACCCAAUGGCGGCACGUGGCAGUGUCGAGUCAUGACGAACGAGUCACCAGGCGAGCCAUUGGCGUGUAGUCGCACGACGUUGGGAUCGCGGCUCUGUUCGCUGCGUUCGUGUUACAGGCGGUAGGCAACUCGGGGAGGACUGGUCACGGUGAUGACCAGUGAGUUAGUCGGGGGCUCAGGAGACUAGUGGCGUGGCGGACGCGCUCGCAAAGGGAUGCACGCCAGGACAUGGUGACUGAGGAGCAGUGGAAGCCGCGGCGAAGGUGCUGGAGUCGUGUAUUUGUGGAACAUGAGUUGGAUCGAGUCAUCGUAGCUAGGAGAUGGAGGCAGCCGAUGAAGAGGCGUUAAUGAGGAUUACUUCGCGCAUCCCUUCAUUGUGCACCGCAAUGAUAGUAUCUGGUCUGGCGCGGUGAUACUCUUGAGUGUAGAAUGGUGCCGUUGAUGAUUUCGCAUGGGCGGCGCGCAGAGAAUGUCGUGUAUCUUGCACUUGACGCCUUGGUUGGAUGUGCUGGUGGACCUGCCACCCGGUCGACCAACGCGAACGGCCUCGGUUCGUGUGUCGACCUGCCUGAUCCGCGUCCUGAGCUGCAUGCCGCGCUAGUGUCGACUGUUGGUCUGAACUGCUUUGUGCUGUGGACCAUGCUCAGAAAAAACAAUGUGGGGACGCCGCCGCAUGAGAGCCGGCUACGGCUGUCAUGUACCGCGUUGCUUCGACGAAUGAGCGGUGCGGGAACAACCCGUGUCGCCGCGACUGUCAAUUAAAGAGGAUGACGCAUCCCGCUCCAGCCUGACAUUCGCCGUGUCGAUGUUUAUCAGUCGCAACGUUGUUCCCUACGGUGUGAAGCUGACCAGGAGCAGUGUGCGUCGCCCUUAAAGCCCUGCGGCGUUAUUGUCGGCGGUGCGACACACGUGCAGGUUGACGAAGUACGCAAACCCGCGAGGCUCGCGCGCACCAUAUGUUAAUAGCAUUAGCUGGGUGUUGUGCGCAGCCAGAGGCCCUCGCCGGACUGAUGCGGCAUAUCCUACUCCAUAAUGAGGCAUUAGUAUUUCUCGGUCCUCCGCGAUGCCCGCGCCUCGACAGCAUCAGCCUGUGUUUGAUGUUUUGCAUAAGCAUGACACCCGUCCACGAUAUACACUCUGAGAUGCGGAUUCGUCUCCUUAUGACGGGUGUUCGUCUGAUUCCAGGCGAUAUGAUCAGGCUGACGGAGACUGAUAACGCAUCGUAUAGCAUUGUUUCAGGUAGCUGCGCCAGCUGAUAGACUACGGCAUCCUAUGGAAUUCGUCACUGGGGAGGUGUCGUCGCCGUGUCUUCGGUUCCCUGCGAGAUAUCUCGAUGGACAUGUUAUCUUGUCUGCCGCUACGUGGAUCGAUGCGACGUAUUGCCCUUGCAACCUGUCUACAGAGGGACCGGUCUUGCGACUGCCUGUGGUAGUCGCUGCUUUGCUAGUGUCUGCGGCGUCACACUGCCUCUCAUGAUCGAUCCUGCUAUAGAGUACUCAACUGUGGAUAAUAGACUCAGGCGAUGUGGACGUGAACUCGUGGAGACUGAGGCGUAGUGGGAGCGUGCCAGGCACGUUCGCUAUGGUUGGGCGGCGUGGGUGUCUGAAACGCGGGGCGGCACGUGGCAGUGUCGAGUCAUGACGAGCGAGUGUCCACGCAAUCCACUGGUCUCUGUCCGCAUGACUCUGGGAUAGCGCGUCUGCUCGUGGCGUCCGUGGAACAGGCGGUAGGCAACACGGGGAGGUCUAGUCACGAUGGUGACCAGUGUGGUAUUCGGAGGAUCGAGAGACUGGUGGCGUGUCCGACGCACUCGCUCAUGGGGAUGCACGUCAGGACAUAGUGACUGAGGAGUAUUGGAAGCCGCGGUGAAGGAGUUGGAGUCUGGUUUCUGUGGAUCGUGGGUUCGGCCGAAUCAUCGGAGCUAGGAGAAUACGAGAAGGAGGCUGCCGAGGACGAAGCAAUAAUAAGGUGCAUUCUGCGCAUCCCGCCAGUGUGAACCGAAACGAUCCGAUCUGGUCUCGACUGGUGAUAAUCGAGAAUGUAGACUGGACCUGCUGAUGAUUCCGUGUGGGCGGCGCGCAGAGAACGUCGUGUGCCAUGCCCUUGACGCGUUGGAUGCAUGUGCUGCUGAACCUUCCACCCAGCCGACCCACGGGAACGGCCUCAGCCAGUAUGGCGACCUGUCUGAUCCGCGUGCUGAGCUGCAUGCCGUGCUAGUGUCGACCGUUUGUCUGAAUUGCUGUGCGUUGUGGAUUCUGCUCAGGAACAGAAGGUAAGAAGGCCGCCGUAUGAGAGCGGGCUACAGCUGGUAUGUACCGCGUUGCUUAUUCGACGAAUGAGCGGUGCGGGAACAACCCGUGUCGCCGCGACUGUCAAUUAAAGAGGAUGACGCAUCCCGCUCCAGCCUGACAUUCGCCGUGUCGAUGUUUAUCAGUCGCAACGUUGUUCCCUACGGUGUGAAGCUGACCAGGAGCAGUGUGCGUCGCCCUUAAAGCCCUGCGGCGUUAUUGUCGGCGGUGCGACACACGUGCAGGUUGACGAAGUACGCAAACCCGCGAGGCUCGCGCGCACCAUAUGUUAAUAGCAUUAGCUGGGUGUUGUGCGCAGCCAGAGGCCCUCGCCGGACUGAUGCGGCAUAUCCUACUCCAUAAUGAGGUAUUAGUAUUUCUCGGUCCUCCGCGAUGCCCGCGCCUCGACAGCAUCAGCCUGUGUUUGAUGUUUUGCAUAAGCAUGACACCCGUCCAUGAUAUACACUCUGAGAUGCGGAUUCGUCUCCUUAUGACGGGUGUUCGUCUGAUUCCAGGCGAUAUGAUCAGGCUGACGGAGACUGAUAACGCAUCGUAUAGCAUUGUUUCAGGUAGCUGCGCCAGCUGAUAGACUACGGCAUCCUAUGGAAUUCGUCACUGGGGAGGUGUCGUCGCCGUGUCUUCGGUUCCCUGCGAGAUAUCUCGAUGGACAUGUUAUCUUGUCUGCCGCUACGUGGAUCGAUGCGACGUAUUGCCCUUGCAACCUGUCUACAGAGGGACCGGUCUUGCGACUGCCUGUGGUAGUCGCUGCUUUGCUAGUGUCUGCGGCGUCACACUGCCUCUCAUGAUCGAUCCGGCUAUAGAGUACUCAACUGUGGAUAAUAGACUCAGGCGAUGUGGACGUGAACUCGUGGAGACUGAGGCGUAGUGGGAGCGUGCCAGGCACGUUCGCUAUGGUUGGGCGGCGUGGGCGCCUGACUCUAAAUGGAGGCACACGGCAACGGAAGCGGCAACGUCCAUCCCCAACGAGCGAGUCACCACGCGAGCCAUUGGCGUCUGGUCGCAUGACUAUACGAUCGUGCCGCUGUUCUUGGCGUUCGUGGAAAAGGCGGUAGGAACCGCGUGGACGACCGAUCCCGGUGGAACUCCGAGUAGUGAAUGGUGCAUGUGGGAUCGAGUGAAUGGGGAAUCGAGUGAAUUGAGGCGUCGCGCACUCACUCUCCAAGGACGAGUGAUAACGACGUUGUGAUUAACUAUUUGUGAUUAUGUUGUUGGAGUUCGUUUUGCACCGAUGAGGGCUUUGAGUGUUUGUGUUUGUCGAACUUGUGUUGGACCACAGAAUUGAUGGUCACAGGAAGGCAAGCAGCAUUGUGGCUGAUGCGAAGGGUUAACGUGGAUUUCCUCUCGCAGCCGACUGGCGUCCGCCCCAUUUCGCUUACCGUGUCGUCAACCGGGGGUAACCGAGAGUACUGGGGGAAGCAGGUGAGGGUCUUCGUUUCGGCUGCUUCCAUAUUGAAUGCGUUGCAUUAUGACCUUGGCACAUUGGUUACGAGUGCUGCUGAAUUUCUCAGACACUCUCGACCGACGGCAACGGUCUCGGUUUGUGCGACGGCCUGGAUGAUCCGGGUGCUGGGUCGCAUGCCGUGACAUUGUCAGCUGAUGUUGCGAUCUGGUUUGCGCGGUGGAUUCUGCUCAGCAACAAGACGUAGGGACGCCUGCGCGUGGGGGGCGCGCUGCAGCUGGUACGUGUCGCCUCGUUUCGGCGACUGGGCGGCGACGGAAAGAACUGGUGUCCCCGCGACCGUCAGUGAAAAAGGAUGGAUCAGCCGGCUCCAGCCGGCCACUCGUCGUCUCGAUGUCAGCAAGUGUCACCUGGUUCAACAAGGUGUGCGGCUGGUCGGGGUCACGGAACGUGGUUGCAAAUCAGGAGCGUCUCGCCGAUUUAUGGUCGGUGGGGCGGUGCUACGGUUGUGCAGCACCAGCAAGUACGCGCACUCGCGUUCCUGGCGCGCCAAAGUAUCACGAAUAAGCCGUGGUGCGCAACCAGUGACCCGCCCAGGGCUGAUGCCGCAUAUCGCCGUCCAUGACGAGGCGUUAGUAUUUCUCGGUCAUCCGCGAUGCAAUCGCCUUGGCAUCAUCAGAAUGUGUUUGGUAUGUUGCAUGAGCUUGACACUCGUCCUCGCGGUAUGCUCUGAGUUGCUGAUGUAUCUCCUUAUGACCAGUGUUCGACUCAUUGCAGGCGAUGCGAUCAUGGUGGAGGAGCUUGACAACGCGCCGUAUAGCAUUGUCUCAAGUAGGUGUGCCCACUGAUACGUUACGGCACCCUUUGAACUUUGUCACUGGGACGGAUUUGUCUCUCUCUGUCCUGGUUUCGCUGGGAGCAGUCUCGAUGCUGACUUCAUCGCAUGUAUCGAUGGGUGAGUGACCGGUCUGCUGCUGCACCGACGGCUCCGACGUGGUGCCGUGGGAAUCUGUCUACAGAGAAACCUGUCUCGCAACUCCCUGCAGUAGCCGAUGCUUUGUGUGUGUCGGCGGCGUCACACUGCCUCUCACGUUCGAUCCUCCUUAUCGAUCGCCUGACCGCGGCUAAUAGAUGCAGCCGGUGUGGACGUGAACUCGUGGAGACUGAGCUGUACUGGGAGCGUGCCAGGCACGUUCGCUAUGGUUGGGCGGCACGGGUGUCUGAAUCCAGUGGAGGGACGCGGCAACGGCAACGUCAAUCCAUAACGAAGGAAUCGCCACACGAGCAAAUGACGUCUGGUCGCAUGACUAUACGCUCCUGCCGCUGUUGUUGGUGUUUCUGGAAAAGGCGGUAGGCACCUUUUGGAGGACUGGUCACGUUGGUGAUUAGUGUGGUAAUCAGGGGAUUACGGGACUGACGGCGUUACGGCUGUGCCCGGCAAUGAAGGCACGUCGCGACAUCGUGACCUGAGGAUCGUGGAAGUCGCGGUGAAGGAUUCGGAAGUUUGUGUUUGUGGAGCAGGCGUAGGAGCGUAUCAUCCGAGCUAGGAGAAGGAGGCUGCCGACAAGGAGGCGUUGAUGUGAAUUAUUCCGCGCAGCCCGACAGAGUGUCCCGUAUUCAUGAUAUCUGGCCGCAACCGGUGAUCCUCGUGAGUGUGGACUGGAGCCGUUGACGAUUGCGUUUGGGCAUCACGCUGGGAUCGCCGUGUACCAUACGCUGGACGCCUUUGUCGCAUGUGCUGCUGGACCUGCCACGCAGGCGAUGCACGGUAACGGUCUCCGUUUGUGUGACGACUUGGCUGAACCGCAUGCUGAGAUGCAUGCCGUGUUAGUGUCGACAGUUGGUCUGAACCGCUCUGCGUUGUGGAUUCUGCUCAGGAACAAAAGGUCUACGGAACUGGCGGCCUCCUCGCAGUCCGCUUCACCAGCACACGUUCUGUAUGUGUCGGCGGGACGGUCGCGCGCGUUCAAUUUGACUUGACGGAGAUGCAUCCACCGUUGCUAGUGGAGGCAGAAGAUGAGAACGUGUCCCCUUAAGACUGAGCUAUAGCGGGAUCCUGUGAGGCAGGUUCCCUAUGGUUGGUCGUCGUGGGCGCCUGACUCUAAAUGGAGGCACACGGCAACGGAAGCGGCAACGUCCAUCCCCAACGAGCGAGUCACCACGCGAGCCAUUGGCGUCUGGUCGCAUGACUAUACGAUCGUGCCGCUGUUCUUGGCGUUCGUGGAAAAGGCGGUAGGAACCGCGUGGACGACCGAUCCCGGUGGAACUCCGAGUAGUGAAUGGUGCAUGUGGGAUCGAGUGAAUGGGGAAUCGAGUGAAUUGAGGCGUCGCGCACUCACUCUCCAAGGACGAGUGAUAACGACGUUGUGAUUAACUAUUUGUGAUUAUGUUGUUGGAGUUCGUUUUGCACCGAUGAGGGCUUUGAGUGUUUGUGUUUGUCGAACUUGUGUUGGACCACAGAAUUGAUGGUCACAGGAAGGCAAGCAGCAUUGUGGCUGAUGCGAAGGGUUAACGUGGAUUUCCUCUCGCAGCCGACUGGCGUCCGCCCCAUUUCGCUUACCGUGUCGUCAACCGGGGGUAACCGAGAGUACUGGGGGAAGCAGGUGAGGGUCUUCGUUUCGGCUGCUUCCAUAUUGAAUGCGUUGCAUUAUGACCUUGGCACAUUGGUUACGAGUGCUGCUGAAUUUCUCAGACACUCUCGACCGACGGCAACGGUCUCGGUUUGUGCGACGGCCUGGAUGAUCCGGGUGCUGGGUCGCAUGCCGUGACAUUGUCAGCUGAUGUUGCGAUCUGGUUUGCGCGGUGGAUUCUGCUCAGCAACAAAAAGUAUGGACCGCGCGCCUUGGCGGCGGGCACCAGCUGUGUGAUACCGAUGCGUUUCAACUAAAUGGGCGGUACCAAGGAAGAACCGUCACUAAACGUGUCACCAAAUGG